rnacentral:misc_RNA from 1 species
UCCGGCUUUUCGCCGACAGUUCUCCUAGGGUGCUCACCAUUACGUGUUAGCAACUAAGAGUAAGGGUUGCGCUCGUUGCGGGACUUAACCCAACAUCUCACGACACGAGCUGACGACAGCCAUGCAGCACCUCUGCAGCAGUCUCCGAAGAGAAAGGCGCAUCUCUGCGCCGGUCCACUGCAGUUCAAACCCGGGUAAGGUUCUUCGCGUUGCGUCGAAUUAAACCACAUGCUCCACCGCUUGUGCGGGCCCCCGUCAAUUCCUUUGAGUUUCAGUCUUGCGACCGUACUCCCCAGGCGGGAUACUUACUGAGUUAUCGUCGGCACGGAAGGACUCAAUACCUCCCACACCAAGUAUCCAUCGUUUACAGCUAGGACUAC